rnacentral:rRNA from 1 species
UACAGAGGGGGCUAGCGUUAUUCGGAAUUAUUGGGCGUAAAGGGCGCGUAGGCGCCAUGCGUGUCUUCCGUGAAAUCCCUCGGCUUAACUGAGGACGUGCGGAAGAAACUGCAAGGCUCGAGUCCGGGGAGAGGGGGGUGGAAUUCCCAGUGUAGCGGUGAAAUGCGUAGAUAUUGGGAGGAACACCGGUGGCGAAGGCGGCCCCCUGGACCGGUACUGACGCUGAGG